rnacentral:rRNA from 1 species
UACGAAGGGGGCUAGCGUUGCUCGGAAUCACUGGGCGUAAAGCGCACGUAGGCGGCUUUUUAAGUCAGGGGUGAAGUCCUGGAGCUCAACUCCAGAACUGCCUUUGAUACUGAGAAGCUUGAGUCCGGGAGAGGUGAGUGGAACUGCGAGUGUAGAGGUGAAAUUCGUAGAUAUUCGCAAGAACACCAGUGGCGAAGGCGGCUCACUGGCCCAUAACUGACGCUGAUGCACGAAAGCUAGGGGAGCAAACAGG